GGCAGAUGCACAGACAUGAUGAAGCUCCGACCCAAGAAGGACGUAGGCUAGAAUCUCCCUGGUGCGGUUUCAUUGCUUGAGAAAAUUAACACAUCUCCUGACACGAGCUCACAGUGCCGGAUGAAUAUUAACACGAGAAUCCUCACUAC